ensembl:ncRNA R07B5.11 ncRNA
UCUCACAAAAUGUCUCACUUUCCUCAUCUCCUCCCGUUUUUAUUCUUGCUUUUUGUCAACCUUUGGCA